CGUGUAGGCGGUGGGACAAGUCAGAUGUGAAAGCCCCCGGCUUAAACCGGGGAAUUGCAUUUGAAACUGUUUUGCUUGAGUGCGAGAGGGGGUAGUGGAAUUCCCAGUGUAGCGGUGAAAUGCGUAGAUAUUGGGAAGAACACCAGUAGCGAAGGCGGCUACCUGGCUCGCAACUGACGCUAAGGCGCGAAAGCGUGGGGAGCAAACA
rnacentral:rRNA from 1 species